GAUGAAGAACGCAGCAAAAUGCGAUAAGUAAUGUGAAUUGCAGAAUUCAGUGAAUCAUCGAAUCUUUGAACGCACAUUGCGCCCGCCAGUAUUCUGGCGGGCAUGCCUGUUCGAGCGUCAUAUCAACCCUCAAGCCCCCGGGUUUGGUGUUGGGGAUCGGGCUGUACUCCAGCCCGGCCCCGAAAUCUAGUGGCGGUCUCGCUGCAGCCUCCAUUGCGUAGUAGCUAACACCUCGCAACUGGAACGCGGCGCGGCCAAGCCGUUAAACCCCCAACUUCUGAAUGUUGACCUCGGAUCAGGUUGGAAUACCCGCUGAACUUAAGCAUAUCAAUAAGCGGAGGA
rnacentral:misc_RNA from 1 species